CCAAUGAAUUUUUAAUGGCCGCAGUAUAUUGACUGUGCAAAGGUAGCAUAAUUAAUAGCUUAUUAAUUAUAAGAUAGUAUGAAUGGUUGGACGAGAUAUUUACUGUCUCAUAUUAAUUAUUUAGAAUUUAACUUUUGAGUUAAAAGGCUUAAAUUUUAUUAAAGGACGAGAAGACCCUAUAGAUCUUUAUUAUUUUUUUAAUUAAAAGGUUUUGGUGGUUUUAAAUUUUAAUUAAAUUAUUUUUUUGUUGGGGUGACGUUUGGAUAUAAUUAACUCCUUUUUUUUAUUUUCAUUUAUUUAUGUUUAUUUGAAUUUUUAUUAUCAUUUAUAAGACUUAGAUACCUUAGGGAUAACAGCGUUAUUUUUUUUGAAAGUUCAUAUUGACAUAGAAGAUUGCGACCUCGAUGUUGAAUUAAGAUUAUUAUUAGGUGUAGUUGCUUAAUUAUUAGGUCUGUUCGACCUUUAAUUUCUUACAUGAUCUGAGUUCAAA
rnacentral:rRNA from 1 species